rfam:Schistosoma haematobium scaffold846_24, whole genome shotgun sequence.
AUCCAGUUGACGAGCCUCAAAUGGGACGAAACGUGCGUCCUUGAU